rnacentral:rRNA from 1 species
GCACAAGCGGUGGAGCAUGUGGUUUAAUUCGACGCAACGCGAAGAACCUUACCAGGGCUUGACAUCCCCUGACCGCGUAUGAAAGUACGUUUUCACCCUCGGGUGACAGGGAGACAGGUGGUGCAUGGUUGUCGUCAGCUCGUGUCGUGAGAUGUUGGGUUAAGUCCCGCAACGAGCGCAACCCCUACGUUUAGUUGCUAACGCGUGAAGGCGAGCACUCUAGACGAACUGCCGUUGACAAAACGGAGGAAGUGGGAUGACGUCAAAUCAUCAUGCCCCUUAUGUUCUGGGCUACACACGUGCUACAAUGGCCGGUACAGACGGACGCAAAGCCGCGAGGUGGAGCAAAUCCUAAAAAGCCGGUCUCAGUUCGGAUUGCAGGCUGCAAUUCGCCUGCAUGAAGUCGGAAUCGCUAGUAAUCGCAGGUCAGCAUACUGCGGUGAAUACGUUCCCGGGCCUU